rnacentral:lncRNA from 1 species
GGGCUAUAUCACCGCCUGGUACGGCAGCUGCUCCGCCCAUAACCGGAAGGCUCUCCAGAGAGUAGUGAGGUCUGCACAACACAUCACCGGGUGCAAACUACCUGCCCUCCAUGACACCUACACCACCCGAUGUCACAGGAAGGCCAAAAAGAUCAUCAAGGACAGCAACCACCCGAGCCACUGCCUAUUCACCCCGCUAACAUCCAGAAGGCGAGGAAGAAGAGAGAUCAUGAUACAGAAAGCAGUCUUGUAAAGAAAGCAGAAAGAGGGCCAAGGUAUCCAUCUCAAUGAACCAUGGCGUACCUGGAAGUACUGACACGCUUGUUGUCGGAGAGUCAAAGAAUGCAUUUGGCAUUAUGGCUGCAAGGAUUCUUAGUCGUCCAAUCAGUGUACCCCUGAAAUGGUCAUGUGUGGCUCUCCACAACUCUCUGUCCUCCACGGAUGAAGC